rnacentral:rRNA from 1 species
GAUGAACGCUGGCGGCGUGCCUAAUGCAUGCAAGUCGAACGCAUUGAGAGAAGUGCUUGCACUUUUCAACUUGAGUGGCGAACGGGUGAGUAACACGUGGGCAACCUACCUGAUAGCGGGGGAUAACGAGUGGAAACAUUCGCUAAUACCGCAUAACAAUAGAGAAGGCAUCUUCUUUAUUUAAAAGGCGCUUUCAAGCGUCACUAUCAGAUGGGCCCGCGGUGCAUUAGUUAGUUGGUGGGGUGAAGGCCUACCAAGACGAUGAUGCAUAGCCGAGUUGAGAGAAUGAUCGGCCACAUUGGGACUGAGACACGGCCCAAACUCCUGCGGGAGGCUGCAGUAGGGAAUCUUCCACAAUGGAGGAAAGUCUGAUGGAGCAACGCCGCGUGUGUGAUGAAGGCUUUCGGGUCGUAAAGCACUGUUGUAUGGGAAGAAAUGCUAGGCUAGGAAAUGAGCUUAGUUUGACGGUACCAUACCAGAAAGGGACGGCUAAAUACGUGCCAGCCGCCGCCGUAA